rnacentral:rRNA from 1 species
CCUACGGGAGGCAGCAGUGAGGAAUAUUGGUCAAUGGACGAGAGUCUGAACCAGCCAAGUCGCGUGAAGGAUGACUGCCCUAUGGGUUGUAAACUUCUUUUAUAUGGGAAUAAAAUGUUCCACGUGUGGGAUUUUGUAUGUACCAUAUGAAUAAGGAUCGGCUAACUCCGUGCCAGCAGCCGCGGUAAUACGGAGGAUCCGAGCGUUAUCCGGAUUUAUUGGGUUUAAAGGGAGCGUAGGUGGAUUGUUAAGUCAGUGGUGAAAGUUUGCGGCUCAACCGUAAAAUUGCAGUUGAAACUGGCAGUCUUGAGUACAGGAGAGGUGGGCGGAAUUCGUGGUGUAGCGGUGAAAUGCUUAGAUAUAACGAAGAACUCCGAGUGCGAAGGCAGUUCACUGGACGGCAACUGACACUGAGGCGCGAAAGUGUGGGUAUCAAACAGGAUUAGAUACCCCAGUAGUC